UCAGUCUACAAGCAAAUCAAAACAAGUGCUAACUAAUAUAACGAUCGAAACCCCAAAUAUCAAGACAAGAUAAUCCAUUGAGCAAUUCACAAGUCGUUUAACAUUAUUACUCCAUAAUGAAAGAUGAAAGCAGUACAAGAAAAACCCAAUUCACUAAAUAUCCCAUACCAUAUAAAUACCAGCAAAAGAGUGGCAGAUCCGAUUGGAAAACCCGAUCUAAAUCCUUCCCUUCAAUCCUGAGCCUUCAACUUCUCCACACGCUUAUUCAACUGCUCAACUUUAACAACAAGUCCAGUAACAGAGUACAACAGCCAGUAGAAGACAAGAGCAGAUGCGAUGAGCAGCGCGUUACGCUGAGACUUCAUAAUCGAUUUCUGGUGACGGAGGUACUCCGAUGGGGAACAAGAUUCGGAUGAUUCACAAGUGGGUCGGGUCUCAUACUUCCAGUAUAUAUCCAUUAACAGGAAGAGACAAAACGGUACGAUCGAGAGGAAUGGUUUGAGAAGAUUUCGGGUCACUGCGAUUAACCCUUUACGAAGUGGGUCAAGACCCGGAAUCGUUAGGAGAAGGAGCAUGAUUGCUUCUGCACCCGCAGCGUAGCCGAGAACAACCCAUUCCAACGCCAUUGAUGAUUGAUCGAAGAAUUGAAGGUAAUUUUCUUUUUUUUUUUUCAGAGAAG
rnacentral:misc_RNA from 1 species